UACGUAGGGGGCAAGCGUUGUCCGGAAUCAUUGGGCGUAAAGAGCGUGUAGGCGGUCCGGUAAGUCAGCUGUGAAAGUCAAGGGCUCAACCCUUGAAAGCCGGUUGAUACUGUCGGGCUAGAGUCCGGAAGAGGCGAGUGGAAUUCCCGGUGUAGCGGUGAAAUGCGCAGAUAUCGGGAGGAACACCAAUGGCGAAAGCGACUUCCUGGACCAGUACCGACGUUCAGGCACGAAAGCGUGGGGAGCAAACAGG
rnacentral:rRNA from 1 species